rnacentral:rRNA from 1 species
CCUACGGGAGGCUGCAGUGGGGAAUAUUGGGCAAUGGGCGCAAGCCUGACCCAGCAACGCCGCGUGAAGGAAGAAGGCUUUCGGGUUGUAAACUUCUUUUCUGAGGGACGAAGAAAGUGACGGUACCUCAGGAAUAAGCCACGGCUAACUACGUGCCAGCAGCCGCGGUAAUACGUAGGUGGCAAGCGUUAUCCGGAUUUAUUGGGUGUAAAGGGCGGGUAGGCGGGAAAGUAAGUCAGAUGUGAAAACUCAGGGCUCAACCCUGGGCCUGCAUUUGAAACUGUUUUUCUUGAGUGCUGGAGAGGGAAGCGGAAUUCCGUGUGGAGCGGUGACAUGCGUAGAUAUACGGAGGAACACCAGUGGCGAAGGCGGAUUGCUGGACAGUAACUGACGCUGAGGCGCGAAAGCGUGGGGAGCAAACAGGAUUAGAUACCCCUGUAGUG